rnacentral:tRNA from 1 species
GGGCGCAUAGCUCAGUUGGUUAGAGCGUUCGCUUCACACGCGAGAGGUCAGGGGUUCGAGUCCCUUUGCGCCCACC